rnacentral:rRNA from 1 species
AUUGAACGCUGGCGGCAGGCCCAACACAUGCAAGUCGAACGGUAGCACAGAGAGCUUGCUCUCGGGUGACGAGUGGCGGACGGGUGAGUAACGUCUGGGAAACUGCCCGAUGGAGGGGGAUAACUACUGGAAACGGUAGCUAAUACCGCAUAACGUCGCAAGACCAAAGUGGGGGACCUUCGGGCCUCACACCAUCGGAUGUGCCCAGAUGGGAUUAGCUAGUAGGUGGGGUAAUGGCUCACCUAGGCGACGAUCCCUAGCUGGUCUGAGAGGAUGAACAGACACACGGGAAGUGAGACACGGUCCAGACUCCUACGGGGGGCAGCAGUGGGGAAUAUGGCACAAUGGGCGCAAGCCUGAUGCAGCCAUGCCGCGUGUAUGAAGAAGGCCUUCGGGUUGUAAAGUACUUUCAGCGGGGAGGAAGGCGGUGAAGUUAAUAACUUCACCGAUUGACGUUACCCGCAGAAGAAGCACCGGCUAACUCCGUGCCAGCAGCCGCCGUAA